rnacentral:rRNA from 1 species
UGGGGAAUAUUGCACAAUGGGCGCAAGCCUGAUGCAGCAACGCCGCGUGGGGGAUGACGGCCUUCGGGUUGUAAACCUCUUUUAGCAGGGAAGAAGCGAAAGUGACGGUACCUGCAGAAAAAGCACCGGCUAACUACGUGCCAGCAGCCGCGGUAAUACGUAGGGUGCAAGCGUUGUCCGGAAUUAUUGGGCGUAAAGAGCUCGUAGGCGGUUUGUCGCGUCUGCUGUGAAAAUCCGAGGCUCAACCUCGGACCUGCAGUGGGUACGGGCAAACUAGAGUGCGGUAGGGGAGAUUGGAAUUCCUGGUGUAGCGGUGGAAUGCGCAGAUAUCAGGAGGAACACCGAUGGCGAAGGCAGAUCUCUGGGCCGUAACUGACGCUGAGGAGCGAAAGCGUGGGGAGCGAACAGG